rnacentral:rRNA from 1 species
AUGGAGGUGUUCCCGGCGAUGCAAUACGGUGCUCAUCAACGACCGUCGGUGCUACAACGCAGCAACACGUCCAGGGCCGCCAGGCACCGACACAUCAACUCAUCCAUGGCCGCCGUGCUGCGAUGCAACCUCGUCGGCGCUACUGGUGCUGCAAGUCGCCGGUGGCAGAGCGGCAAUGGAACGGUCAUCCGACGAUUUGUUGCAUUCGUUAAGCGGCAGAGCAGAGGCACCACCGUAGCGGAGGAAGGGACUAGCGAACGUCGCCUGAUUCAUGCUCACGACGGCGGGGCUGCAGCAAAGCGCCGAGCAAGGUUGUUGAAGCUCCACCGUGGCUGCAUUGAAGUGCCACCGGAGUUGCAUCACAGCUUCUGCCGUCGGCGGGGCUGCAGUAGAGCGCCGAGCGAGGUUGUUGAAGCUCCGCCGUGGCUGCAUUGA